UACGUAGGGGGCAAGCGUUGUCCGGAAUUAUUGGGCGUAAAGAGCGUGUAGGCGGUCCGGUAAGUCGGCUGUGAAAGUCCAGGGCUCAACCCUGGAAAGCGGGUGGAUACUGCCGGGCUAGAAUCCGGAAGAGGCGAGUGGAAUUCCUGGUGUAGCGGUGGAAUGCGCAGAUAUCAGGAGGAACACCGAUGGCGAAGGCAGGUCUCUGGGCCACUACUGACGCUGAGAAGCGAAAGCAUGGGGAGCAAACAGG
rnacentral:rRNA from 1 species